UCCCUCACCCCCAUCCGAAGCCCAAAACCCUAGCUUCCUCCUCAACGGUUCUGCCGCAUUGCCGCCGCCGUCCGUGUUCUCGGCGCCUCCGUGCCUUCCUACUUCCCCCUUUCCGAACCCAAGCCCUCUCUUGUUGGCUGUAGCUCGGAACGUCGUUCGCAUCGUCGCUGGCUUCUCUGUUCGAGGGUUGGAGCAGGUCGCCAUCGUGGCGCCGCUCGCCGUCCGUCUCUCCGUCAAAAAUGAUGAUGAUGAUGAUGGUAGCGUGUAUUUCUCUGAUGCAGAAGACUGUGGUUCAAGCCAUUCUCAUUUCUAUUCAACACAUGGUGAUGGUGGUUCAGCAUUUGAUGAUUGCAGCUUCUUAUGUGUCUCUGAUCUUGAAGCUGCUGCUGUUGUUCAUGAUCCUGGGAGGGGAAUUAUAGAAUUUGUCACAUGGGUUUGGAGAGUGAUAGUUGAGUCUGGUGUUCCAAUUAAAUUGGACUGUGCUUGUAAAGAUGAUCUUGCUGCUGUUCACAAAUGCUGAGACAUGGUUCAAGAUUAAGGGGAAUUUUGGCGCCAAGUCUUCAUUUCUCUCUUCGAUGAUUAUUACCCAAAAAAGGAAAAGAAAAAGAAAACUCAUUGAAUCAACGCUGCGAAAGAAGUGAAGGAAUUAGGAAUAUGGAAGUUAAAAGAAGAAGAAGUGAAGUUCCCAGCGUUCCCUUUCAAGCCAUAUUCGAUUCAGAUGGAGUUCAUGAAGGCUCUUUAUCACUCUCUCAACCAAGGUGACGUCUCCAUGUUAGAAAUCCCUACUGGUAAUUCAACAUUCAUUUAUUUUUUUUUAAUCUUAAAUUUAACGUUAUUUUAUUUGGGAGGUUUUGCUGUAUCACACUUGCAUUAUUAAUUGUUUGCAAAAUGAGUUUAAUUUUGGUGAUGUUAUUAUGUUUUAGUUAGGAGAAGAGUGGAAGACAAUUAAUUUACUAUUUUUUUUGGUCUGUCUUGCAUUAUUGGAAGCAAUUCCAUGUUGUUGUUUUGCUUUGUUUUGUUUAUUAG